rnacentral:rRNA from 1 species
CCUACGGGUGGCAGCAGUAGGGGAUAUUGCUCAAUGGGGGAAACCCUGAUGCAGCGACGCCGCGUGGGGGAUGAAGGUUUUCGGAUUGUAAACUCCUUUUGUUAGGGAAGAUAAUGACGGUAUCUAACGAAUAAGCACCGGCUAACUCCGUGCCAGCAGCCGCGGUAAUACGUAGGGUGCAAGCGUUACUCGGAAUCACUGGGCGUAAAGAGAGCGUAGGCGGGAUAGCAAGUCAGAUGUGAAAUCCUAGGGCCUAACCCUAGAACUGCAUUUGAAACUGUUAUUCUAGAGUAUGGGAGAGGUAGGUGGAAUUCUUGGUGUAGGGGUAAAAUGCGUAGAGAUCAAGAGGAAUACU